CAUUAACGUCCUUUCCGAUGCCAGACAAGUUUCUCCUUGAAAAAGUUUCUCCCUCCCAAAGCUCUGCAUUCCUCCGCUCCUCUUUGCGGGGCACAGAAUGGCACCGCUAGAAACGACCUAAUCUGAUGACCUCAUUUAAAGACAAGAACACCAAGGCCUCUCGGGGACACCUUGCCCAAGGUCACAGAGCAGGGUGAAGGUCAACUCAGACCAGACUCCUCCACUCCAGAAUCCCACGGAGCACUCAGACCUCCUCCUAGGAGUCCAAAUCCCGGAAGAAAUGUUUAUCGGGGUUUAGUGUGUUAGGCAACUGCGUUAGUCACUGGAGAGAAAGAGAACUCGACCCCCCGAAAACGAUAGAGACGGGGCCGUGGAGGAGUAAACAGAGAGUUAUAACAACGUAAGUGCUACCGGCAGGCAAGUACGGGGUGCUCUAGGGACCGCAGGAGAAGCUGUCACCCAGGCUGAAGAGUGGGGGGAAGUGGGGGCAGGGUGCAGGAGGAGGGGUCCAAGGGACGCCCCAUGCAAAAGCCUGGAGGUCAAGUGGGAGCGUGACAAUGGAAGGAAGUCUGCAGGUGUGACUUGGGCUGGAAGGUACUUCGCAGGGGCUGGGAGACCCCAGACGAGCGGGAAGCUUCUCCACCAGCACUCCAGCUUCCAUCCUAAAGUCAGUGGGGCAGCCACGGACCCUGGGCAGAUAACAAAGAUGCUUGCGUUCUAGAAACUCAAGUGCAGGUCACUUGGCAGAGCAGAGGUCGAUCUUCUGCAAGCAGCGUCCCGGAUACCAGGGUCACGCAGCGGGUGGGAAACCCCUUGUCCGUGUGACCAGCUCUCCCUGACACUUGACGAGGGAAUGCUGGGCAUGCGGGGCCCCAUUUAAUUGGCCCAAGAGGGACUCAGUCUAAUGGCUCAUGGGAGGCUCAAGGGGGGAACCCCCCCUCUGAAACUGUCCUACGAGUGAGGUUAAAAACAGGUUUGGAAAGCCCUGCCACCUUAAAGGGCAGACGGGUUCCAUCCUAGAAAUUCCUUCUUGCCGUCAUCUCGCGGGUGAGGACGCUGGGCUCCAACAGGAAGACCCCGAUUCUCGACUGCACCCCGCUGCUUGCUGGCUUCGUGGCCCAGGGGGGCUGGUCCCAGGGAGCAACCUCCUCUGUCACACGGGAGCACUCUCACAGCUGGAAGGGCUGCUUUGCAGACUAGGACACAACGUAAAGUUCCUACCCUACAUCAUAGGGGCUCAGAAAGUGCCAACUGUUGCUUUUCUUCCACUCACUUGGAAGGCUCCCAGUCCAUCGGCCAGCCCGCACUCCCACCGCAGGCACCUUCAGGUGGCCCAGCUCCACUCCCAGUGGCCCAGCUCCACUUCCCGUGGCCCACGGGAUCCAAGAGCCCGGCCCAGGAGCGCUCUGCAGGCAAGCUGUCCUCACUGGCCGCACGCGGGGCUCCUGGUCCAAGGCCAGGCGAACAACCUGAA